UACAGGAGGGGGGCAAGCGUUUAUUCGGAAUUAUUGGGGCGUAAAGGGCGCGUAGGCGGCCAUUCAAGUGACGGGUGAAAGCCCUCGGCUUAACCGAGGAACUGCCUGUCAGACUGGAUGGCUUGAGACCGGGAGAGGUGAGUGGAAUUCCCAGUGUAGCGGUGAAAUGCGUAGAUAUUGGGAGGAACACCAGUGGCGAAGGCGGCUCACUGGACCGGAACUGACGCUGAGGCGCGAAAGCGUGGGGAGCAAACAGG
rnacentral:rRNA from 1 species